rnacentral:rRNA from 1 species
CGAUUAAAGCUCCCUUCGGGGAGUGCAUAAAGUGGCGCACGGGUGAGUAACACGUAAGUAAUCUGCCCUCGAGUGGGGAACAACGUCCGGAAACGGACGCUAAUACCGCAUAAUGCAGCGGCACCUAAUGGUGACAGUUGUUAAAGGAGAAAUCCGCUUGAGGAGGAGCUUGCGGCAGAUUAGCUAGUUGGUAAGGUAAUGGCUUACCAAGGCUACGAUCUGUAACCGGUCUAAGAGGACGGUCGGUCACACUGACACUGAAUAACGGGUCAGACUCCUACGGGAGGCAGCAGUCGGGAAUUUUGGGCAAUGGGCGAAAGCCUGACCCAGCAACGCCGCGUGAAGGAUGAAGUAUUUCGGUAUGUAAACUUCGAAAGAAUGGGAAGAAUCAAUGACGGUACCAUUUAUAAGGUCCGGCUAACUACGUGCCAGCAGCCGCGGUAAUACGUAGGGACCAAGCGUUGUUCGGAUUUACUGGGCGUAAAGGGCGCGUAGGCGGCAAUUCAAGUCAUCUGUGAAAUCUCCGGGCUUAACUCGGAACGGUCAGAUGAUACUGCUUUGCUAGAGUGCGGAAGGGGCAAUCGGAAUUCUUGGUGUAGCGGUGAAAUGCGUAGAUAUCAAGAGGAACACCUGAGGUGAAGACGGGUUGCUGGGCCGACACUGACGCUGAUAGCGCGAAAGCCAGGGGAGCAAACGGGAUUAGAUACCCCGGUAGUCCUGGCCCUAAACGAUGAAUACUUGGUGUCUGG